AACGAACGCUGGCGGCAGGCUUAACACAUGCAAGUCGAACGGUGCAGCAAUGCACAGUGGCGCACGGGUGAGUAACGCGUGGGAAUAUGCCCUUUAGUACGGAAUAGCCUCGGGAAACUGGGAUUAAUACCGUAUACGCCCUUCGGGGGAAAGAUUUAUCGCUAAAGGAUUAGCCCGCGUGAGAUUAGGUAGUUGGUGGGGUAAUGGCCUACCAAGCCUACGAUCUCUAGCUGGUCUGAGAGGAUGAUCAGCCACACUGGAACUGAGACACGGUCCAGACUCCUACGGGAGGCAGCAGUGGGGAAUAUUGGGCAAUGGAGGAAACUCUGACCCAGCCAUGCCGCGUGAGUGAUGAAGGCCUUAGGGUUGUAAAGCUCUUUCGUUGGUGACGAUAAUGACGGUAACCAAAGAAGAAGCCCCGGCUAACUUCGUGCCAGCCGCCGCAGUAA
rnacentral:rRNA from 1 species